rnacentral:rRNA from 1 species
GACAGAGGUGCCGAGCGUUAGGCGGAAUCACUGGGCUUAAAGCGUGUGUAGGCGGAUCGUUAAGUAUCUUGUGAAAUCCCACGGCUCAACCGUGGAACUGCUGGGUAUACUGGCGAUCUUGAGCAACCUAGGGGCAGACGGAACAAGUGGUGGAGCGGUGAAAUGCGUAGAUACCACUUGGAACGCCGACGGUGAAAACAGUCUGCUGGGGGUUUGCUGACGCUGAGACACGAAAGCCAGGGGAGCGAACGGG